GUAGUUAACUGCAGAAAUCAGAAUAUUGGAUAGCAGUAACUAAGGCCAUUGGCAAUUUCUAUCAUAUAUCAUAAUUUAUUUGUGUGAUUCCUUUACCAACUACAUGUUUCUAUUUGUUUCCUAUAUUUUGUUUGUUCCUGAAUAUUUUAUGAAUUGUGUAUUUCUAUUUUAAUACAUAAGACUCUUUUUCAUGCAAUUUACUCAAUGGCCUAUAUGAGAAGCCCUAAAUAAAGCUAUUCCUCAUUUGUACGCUUUCUUACUUAUAUAGAUCAAAAUAUGGAAUUCUCUGCAGGUUAACUAAUACAUGCAUCAGCUUUGUAUCAUAAAGAUUUCACCAUCCCAAGGUAAUGGAAAUAAGUUCACAAGAUUCUCAUGUUGAGGUCUGUACAAAGAGAUACAAGGCAAUGUCUGUGUGCUGGAAGGAGAAACUCACUGCCAAAGCUAUAAUCCCUGAUGCUAAAGCCUGCAUGUUCAGAUCUGCAGAGUUUACUCAUAUUACUGUAUGAAUGAUUAAUACAGAGGGAGCCCUUUUGUCAGGUCAUUUAAUCAUUUAAUCAUAGGUACAUUAUCUCAGAGGGAGUAUUUCAUUUUCUACCUGAACCAAGUUGUUAUUUCAUUUCUAAGAGGCAAAGAGUUCCUCCUGUUCCCAGUUUUGGCUCACUUUCUUGAUGCAUCUCGGAUGAGAGGAAAUGAAUGGAUAAUCUGACAAGCAAUGUUCGGGCAUACCCUUAUAUUUACGUCUGAUGAAAUGCUGCGGGUGCAAACUAAUCAAGACUGCUGCCAUGAGCAAAAGAGCAGACAUUACUUAUGAGAAAACAAUAAAAGAAUCCUCCGUGACUACAUACCACAACGAGUCAAAGACGAUGAAAGCACUACUCCAUUGGUGGUGUUAGCAAGUGGAGUCUGGAGGGAGAACAACACAAAGUAGGAAAUUGAUUCCCUCGCCCUCGCUUGCUUCAACGACCCCGCCCGUCUUGGUGGGGUCGAUUCCCCCAUCGCCCGACUCAUCUCCGACGAGUAUGGCAUCAGUGGGUACGCCCCGCCGUUCGUAUGCUUGGCGGGUCCCAGAACACCCGUGACGUGUAUGAGCUUGACUAGGGCGAGGGGCUCGUGCUCGUGCUCGAGCUCGACAAGACGCACUUCGAUCUCGUCACCAACUACGAGCUGGACUAUGAGACUCCAGAGCAGGCGGGGGCGACGAAGACGAAAGUGGGGGCAGUUCGAGCUUGUCGCUGCCGGAGACCCUGGAGAGGUGCGCGAAGAGACCUGGUUAGAUUUGUUGGCCACCACUGGUAGAUGCUCCAUGUCUCCUCCUCUGGUUCCUUGUGCAUUAUUGGGUUGUC